ACCUGCCGGCGAGUGGCGAACGGGUGAGUAAUACAUCGGAACGUGCCCUGUAGUGGGGGAUAACUAGUCGAAAGACUAGCUAAUACCGCAUACGACCUGAGGGUGAAAGUGGGGGACCGCAAGGCCUCAUGCUAUAGGAGCGGCCGAUGUCUGAUUAGCUAGUUGGUGGGGUAAAGGCCCACCAAGGCGACGAUCAGUAGCUGGUCUGAGAGGACGAUCAGCCACACUGGGACUGAGACACGGCCCAGACUCCUACGGGAGGCAGCAGUGGGGAAUUUUGGACAAUGGGGGCAACCCUGAUCCAGCAAUGCCGCGUGUGUGAAGAAGGCCUUCGGGUUGUAAAGCACUUUUGUCCGGAAAGAAAUCGCACUGGUUAAUACCUGGUGUGGAUGACGGUACCGGAAGAAUAAGGACCGGCUAACUACGUGCCAGCAGCCGCGGUAAUACGUAGGGUCCAAGCGUUAAUCGGAAUUACUGGGCGUAAAGCGUGCGCAGGCGGUUGUGCAAGACCGAUGUGAAAUCCCCGGGCUUAACCUGGGAAUUGCAUUGGUGACUGCACGGCUAGAGUGUGUCAGAGGGAGGUAGAAUUCCACGUGUAGCAGUGAAAUGCGUAGAGAUGUGGAGGAAUACCGAUGGCGAAGGCAGCCUCCUGGGAUAACACUGACGCUCAUGCACGAAAGCGUGGGGAGCAAACAGGAUUA
rnacentral:rRNA from 1 species